rnacentral:pre_miRNA from 1 species
AUCGGGUUGGCAACUAAGUGAUUGCGGAUUUUGCCAUUACCACCUAAUGACAAAAUCCGCAAUCACUUAGUUGCCAAUGCA